UAAUGACCUAGGGGACUAGUGUGGACUUCCUAGUCAGAAUGUGAACCCUGAGGAUGGGGGACAGAGUUAGUAGUGAGUCUCCCCCACUGGCUCCUCCUGUGAAGCAUCUGACAUGCUCCCAUCUCCACCGUCUGUGCAGUGCUGUCCUCCAGCCCACCUCACCUGUGGAGUCCAUCCAGGCUGCUCUCCUCUCCACGGUCCUCCUCAUCAACCACUCAUGUAUCCAGCAAGUAUUUAUUCUGCACCUGCCUGUGCUGGGUGUGGUGGAGAUUCAGUGUUGAAUGAGACCACCAGUCCUGCUUCCAUCAAGCUCAUAAUUAAAUAGGGAAGACAGACAUCAAUAUUAUCAAAUGCUUAUGGAACGGCAGUGGUGACAUGUGCUGCCACAGUGCAACAGCUUCGUGCCACUUCCUUUCUCUGCACUUGUGCACCUACAAACAUCUGCUUGUCCUUCGAGCUCGUAUUCUCCCUCAUCUGCAAUACCUUUCCGACCACCCCCACACACAACAGGGUGCUCUUCUGUUCCCAUGGAUCUCCACAAAGGCUGAAACCCAGUGGUAGAGACCAGAUCACCCUGACUUUGGACCCCUUGCCUGGCCCAGCUCAGUGGAGGUACUCAGGAGUUGAAUGAGAUUUCCUGCCAACAUUGAUCCAACCAGUGUGUGAACAUUUCUAGGGUCCAAGAAUCCAUGCUUUCUUCUCUUUCUUAUAUAGCCUUUAGUUUCUUUUUUCUCAUUAUAAAAGGGAAUGACAAGGUAAAUAUAUUUAAUACUGAACUUUAUACUUUAACAUGGUUAAGAUGGCAAAUUUUGUGUUAUAUGUGUUUUACUGCAAUUUUUGGAAAUGCAAAGAAUAAGUACAAAAGGAGAAAGGGGGGUUCUCAUAUUACUGAGAAAAGACAAAGUAUUUGUUAAGAUAAAACUGGAUUAAAACAAAAGUAAUUUGGAUUAGGGAAAUUCGAAUCAAAACCAAAAUAAGAUACCACUUCAUACUCUUAUUUAAGGUGGCCAUUAUAGAGGGAAAAAAAAAAAACAGAAAAUGACAAGUGUUGGCAAAGAUGAAAAGAAAUAGGAAACCUUGUAUAUUAUUGAUGGAAAUGCAAAUUAGUGUGGUAACUGUGGAAAACAGAAUAAUGGUUCUUCCAAAAAUUAUCAUAUGAUCCAGUAGUUCUUCUAGGAAUGUACCCAAAAGAAUUAAAAGCAGGGAUUCAAAGAUAUA